GACGAACGCUGGCGGCGUGCUUAACACAUGCAAGUCGAACGGAAAGGCCCUGCUUUUGUGGGGUGCUCGAGUGGCGAACGGGUGAGUAACCCGUGAGUAACCUGCCCUUGACUUUGGGAUAACUUCAGGAAACUGGGGCUAAUACCGGAUAGGAGCUCCUGCUGCAUGGUGGGGGUUGGAAAGUUUCGGCGGUUGGGGAUGGACUCGCGGCUUAUCAGCUUGUUGGUGGGGUAGUGGCUUACCAAGGCUUUGACGGGUAGCCGGCCUGAGAGGGUGACCGGCCACAUUGGGACUGAGAUACGGCCCAGACUCCUACGGGAGGCAGCAGUGGGGAAUAUUGCACAAUGGGCGGAAGCCUGAUGCAGCAACGCCGCGUGCGGGAUGACGGCCUUCGGGUUGUAAACCGCUUUCGCCUGUGACGAAGCGUGAGUGACGGUAAUGGGUAAAGAAGCACCAGCUAACUACGUG
rnacentral:rRNA from 1 species